AUUGAACGCUGGCGGCAGGCCUAACACAUGCAAGUCGAACGAGUGGCGGACGUGUGAGUAUUGUUUGGGAAACUGCCUGAUGGAGGGGGAUAAUUACUGGAAACGUUAGCUAAUUCCGCAUACCAUCUGAUGUUCCCAGAUGGGCUUAGCUAGUCGGUGGGGUAAAGGCUCACCUAGGCGACGAUCCCUAGCUGGUCUGAGAGGAUGACCAGCCACACUGGAACUGAGACACGGUCCAGACUCCUACGGGCGGCAGCAGUGGGGAAUAUUGCACAAUGGGCGCAAGCCUGAUGCAGCCAUGCCGCGUGUAUGAAGAAGGCCUUCGGGUUGUAAAGUACUUUCAGCGGGGAGGCGUUACCCGCAGAAGAAGCACCGGCUAACUCCGUGCCAGCAGCCGCGGUAAUUC
rnacentral:rRNA from 1 species